rnacentral:rRNA from 1 species
AUGAGGAUGCUGGCCCCGGCGCCGUAUCAAAUGCCGGCGAGGGAGGACAAGAAGAAGAGCAAAAGGGCUAAAGGUGGCCUCCGCUCUAAAGGACUGGAUGCUACGUCCGGGGAUACUGAAGCUCCCUCUUCUGAAUACGAAGACAAAGGGGAAGAAGAAGCGGACAUCCCUUCCCCCCACGGGAAGAAAAGGACCGCCUCCGAAGACUUGGAGGUGGAAGCACCCAAGAGAGGGAAGAUAUCCCUAUCAGAUGGUUCGGGUUCGGAAGCCGAUGUUGACGCAGAGCUCCUCUCUAGGGACAAGCCCCUUGCCGAAUCGUAA